GACGAACCGUGCAAACGUUAUUCGGAAUCACUGGGCUUAAAGGGCGCGUAGGCGGGCAACCAAGUCCGAGGUGAAAUCCUCCAGCUUAACUGGAGAAGUGCCCCGGAUACUGGCUGCCUCGAGGAGGGUAGGGGCAUCUGGAACUAGCGGUGGAGCGGUGAAAUGCGUUGAUAUCGCUAGGAACUCCGGUGGCGAAGGCGAGGUGCUGGACCCUUUCUGACGCUGAGGCGCGAAAGCCAGGGGAGCGAACGGG
rnacentral:rRNA from 1 species